rnacentral:lncRNA from 1 species
UUUUUUUUUUUUUUUUUUUUUUUCUGAGACUGAAAUCCUGUUACACUUAGAAGGAGGCUUAGUUAUUUGCUUUCCGGAGCAUGCCACAUCCUUUCCCGUGUCCUUCUUUCCGUGCUUUUGCUUAUCCUGACUGCCCACCCUAUCCCAGUACUCAAAGAUGUUGGCUUUUCUUCUUCAAAGCACACUUCUACCUUCAGAAAAUAUUGUGUCAAUUAACUACAAAAGAUGGGAGUAGGAUUUUAAAAAAUUAUGUGUCAUCUGAUUCUAGAUAUUGCAUGGAUCUGUUAAGCCAGUGUUUAAUGUAAAGGCAAAUUUUGAGGAAGCUCAGUAGCUGAAUUAUGCCAUUUAGAAGUAGCCUCAUGUAUUAUUACUUUGCUUAAAGUCUUUGAUGGUUUCUCUUUACUAAAGGACAAAAUCUAAGCUUCCACUAUUAUGGAAUCUUUGUUGCUUCUCCACUAGGCCUGCUGUUGCUUCAGAGGCUUGGCACACGGUCAUCCAUAUGCCUGGAACACACUUCCCUCCACUUGUUUGCCAGAAUAGGUGUCCCCUCCUUUAGAAACCUGUAAUUUUUUGAUUACUUGUCAUUCCCACUAGAGUAUAAGUACCUGGCAUUGUAAUCCCAAGUAUGUAACACAACUUUUAGCAAUUUCUCCACCCUGAAUAAAUAUUGGUUGGAAAAAAAAAACCCUUUAUUCACAUUUAUGGAUAAUUAAUACAUAUUAUGUAUUAUAUUGACUUACGAACUUUUUAAUUUAAUGGAAGAAUUUUAUUCAACUUUUAAAUGAAUCAUUAACUUAUCCUGUAUCUAAUGUAUAUUCUGUUCAGUACAUGAAUUAUCUACUAAUAUAUUUUUUUUCUAACAAUUAGGCAACUGAGUUUCAUUUUAUAGAGUCCUCACUCAGAAUGAGGGUGUGGAAAUCUAUACAUACAUAUUAUUUCAUCUCUAGGUAACCGAUGAAGCCCCAGGGGAGAGUCAGACUGGUGAAAAGAUGUUUAUCUCACCAUGUCAUAGCCCUAUCAGCUGUUUGAAAAAGAUAGCCAGGAUGGUAAUCUGGUACAGGGGUGCCUCAUGCUCUUCGAGUAUUUGGCUUGUUUAUGGACAAGAAUUAGUUGGUUAGAUACUAUAGAUGGGAGAGGACAAUAGUACUCAACAAUUAUUGAGCACUUAUUAUAUGUUCUCUCCUUUGAGAAUAUUGUACAAAUAACCCUUAAUUGAAAAUGCUUUCAGGAGUUGAAGUCAGGUUCAGUUGGGAGAUUUCAGUGUGGACUAUACUCUUGUUUGUCAUCAUAUUGUCUCUGAGUCUGUCAGUGUGAAGACAUUGUCUUCAUGUUGGUCCCAACCUUGACUUCUCUUUGAAAUUGUAUUAGUAAUUCUUAGUUAUAGGUUUUAAAUUUUGUUUUUAAGCUGUGGUUGGUGUAGACUGGGUAAAUAAUACCAUGAUUUUAAAUGAGAGGUAUUGGAUAUAAUAAACUGAUUUUUAUAAUUUAUUAGCAGCCAUCACAUAGCCAGGUCGAUAUCUGAAUUAAAUAACCUCAUUGAAAUAGUAUAUUUACUUUAAAUUGUAUUUACUUGUUUAUACUUUUGAUACUGCAUAUAAGUCAUAAAAGCAUAAGGAUGUGUAUAGCCAUUCUUUUUUUAAAUUUUCAGUAGUUUGUCCAUCUUGAUAGAGUUUAGGAAAAGAGUAAUAAGCAUGUGGGGUGAAUGAAAGAAAAUGUAGAGUUUUGGUGAAAAGUAGAGUAGAUGGGAGGAGGGAAGAGGCUUUAAAAACAGCGUGGAAUUAUUGUGAUUCUGUCUAAGGCACUGGAUAAGAAAGUAGGUUUGUUGAAGUAUAGCAUCAUUCUACUUUCUGUUUGUAUAAGUAAACAUAAUUUUUCCAUCAGCAGAGAUAACACAUAAAUUCCACAUUUCCUCUAGCAUGAUGUCACAAAUAAAUUUGUAUAAAUAUAAUACUUUUUCCAGGUAGAACAUAUAAACAGCAUUACUGUAGAAACAUUUCCUUGAUUUAUUUACCUGUGUUAUGUAAUUAAGUCCUCUAUCUUGUGAGUGAAUGAUCAAUGCAGUUUGUCAGUUCAGGUUUUUUUUUUUUUUUUUUUUUUUUGUGUGUGUGUGUGUGUUUUGUCAGUUCAGUUUUAUGCAUUUGGAAUCAUGGUAAAUGUGUUAUGUUUGAUUUGAGGCAAUGUUUGUUGUUACUCUUGUAUGAUUUUUAUUUCGCUUAUGAUUUUACUUUGGGAUUUAGUCACUCCUUACCUUUCAUUCAGCUUCUCUUAAGCCAGAUGUUGAUAAAAAAACAGAGAGAGAGCAUGAGUGAGCAAAAACUCACUGUUUAUAUUUAUUCAUGUUGCUAAGUGAUUCGUGUACAGUUAUCCAUUGCCUGAAUCACCAUUCAUAAAAAAGGGGUUCACUCUUCUUUUUGUCCAUGUUCUAUAUUUAUUAGAACAUUCUUCAGGGUUCAGGCCAAACUAGUUAGGAAAACUCAAGAUGAAAUACUUGAAUAUCUUAAAGAGGCAGACUGUAAUGCAUUGGCAAAUGGUUUGACAAACUCGACUGUAAGGAAUAUUUAUGGAAAUCGGUGGUAAUGUGAAAUUUUUCUGAUCUGUUCCUGAAUUGCCUUUCUUUUGAUAACCUAGAUCAGAGAUGAAGGCUGCCUCCCAGCUCAAAUAGAAUUAUUUGGCCUAAAAAGAGAUUUAUAUAGUUUACAUUAGUCUCAGCAUGCAGGAUUCAGAAGUUUUCACAACAAAUCUGAUUUUUCAUGGCUGCCUCCUCUAAUUAGAGCAUGUGUGGCCAGAACCUUGCCUUACCAUCUUUAUGUCCUCUUCCCUCCAUGUACACAUUCAGUUACACUGCUCCUCUGGCUCCCAUAGGUAUGUGAGUUUGCUACCCUUUCUUGGGUGGUUAAAUGAGAUAAUUGUUUAAUGAUAUUUUUGAAUUUGACAAAAUCCUGUGAGAAAUGAAGAGUCAUUGGCCUGCUGGCCUGUGCAACUGGCCAUUUAGAAUGUAGAUUAACUCUGAGAAUGAGAGACCAGGGUUAGCACAAUAAACUGCAUUUUAUGAGGAUUUGUACCAUGUGCAUUUUUCCAACUGUUAGAGUAACUGCUUUCUGAUUUCCAAAAAAGUAGUUCAUAAAGAAGAUUUAAGAGGAAAAUUUUUGCUUUCCUUAAUAGCCCUCAAAAGUCAUUUCAGUUUUUGUUUUAAAGAUUUAAAAAACCCAAUUCCUGUUAAAAUGUAAAUCUCCAAAAAUUCAAAUGUAAUUGUUAAGUAUAUUACCAUAGUAAUAUAUAUACUAUUACUAUAGUAGCUUCUUAUUUACUAAUUAAGUGCUGGGUCAUUAUGAAAAAAAAAGCGAGAUAAACAAACAAUAUACCUCCCUUGCAGGAAUUUAUGUGGACCAAAAAUAUGGAAAUAUAUUUAUGCUUUAUUUGAUUAAAUAUGAAUGAAAUACUUUAAGUAAAGGAAUAGUACAUUUUUUUCUGCCUGGUUCAGAGUCUAUAUUUAAGGGGAAAUUUGCUAUUUAGUAUGAGAAUCAAUGCAUUAAGACAAUCUGGUGGAAAGAUAGAGACUUAGCAAUUAUGAUAUAUACCAAGUAAAGGACGCUUGUCACCGUUGUGUCAACCCAAAUGGCCUCACUUAGUAAUUUGGUAAAGUGAGAAGAGUGAUCAAAAGAAGACAGUUAGCAUAGCAGAUCUAAAUUUCUGUUCUACUCUAAUAAAACUCUUGAAUGGUACCUUCAUGGGCAUGAUAUACAGUAAAACCCAUAUGGAUUAGAUGAUAAUGUGGUUGAACAGACUUUUCCCUGCUUGAACGGAGGAACUGCCCAUUUAAUUAAUGGAUCAUCGUCAGUCUGGAAAGGUGCUUCUAGUGGUGAGCAGAGGGCGCUGACCUUUUUGUG